rnacentral:rRNA from 1 species
GAUGAACGCUGGCGGCGUGCCUAAUACAUGCAAGUCGAGCGAAUGGAUUAAGAGCUUGCUCUUAUGAAGUUAGCGGCGGACGGGUGAGUAACACGUGGGUAACCUGCCCAUAAGACUGGGAUAACUCCGGGAAACCGGGGCUAAUACCGGAUAACAUUUUGAACCGCAUGGUUCGAAAUUGAAAGGCGGCUUCGGCUGUCACUUAUGGAUGGACCCGCGUCGCAUUAGCUAGUUGGUGAGGUAACGGCUCACCAAGGCAACGAUGCGUAGCCGACCUGAGAGGGUGAUCGGCCACACUGGGACUGAGACACGGCCCAGACUCCUACGGGAGGCAGCAGUAGGGAAUCUUCCGCAAUGGACGAGAGUCUGACGGAGCAACGCUGCGUGAGUGAUGAAGGCUUUCGGGUCGUAAAACUCUGUUGUUAGGGAAGAACAAGUGCUAGUUGAAUAAGCUGGCACCUUGACGGUACCUAACCAGAAAGCCACGGCUAACUACGUGCCAGCAGCCGCGGUAA